GCCAGGUGUGGUGGUGAACACCUGUAAUUCCAGUGUUUUGGGAGGCUGAGGCAGGAGGAUCGUGAAUUCAAAGCUAGCCUCAGCAAAAAGUGAGGCACUAAGCAACCCAGCGAGACCCUGUUUCUA
rnacentral:sRNA from 1 species